rnacentral:rRNA from 1 species
GACGAACGCUGGCGGCGUGCUUAACACAUGCAAGUCGAACGGAAAGGCCCUGCUUUUGUGGGGUGCUCGAGUGGCGAACGGGUGAGUAACACGUGAGUAACCUGCCCUUGACUUUGGGAUAACUUCAGGAAACUGGGGCUAAUACCGGAUAGGAGCUCCUGCUGCAUGGUGGGGGUUGGAAAGUUUCGGCGGUUGGGGAUGGACUCGCGGCUUAUCAGCUUGUUGGUGGGGUAGUGGCUUACCAAGGCUUUGACGGGUAGCCGGCCUGAGAGGGUGACCGGCCACAUUGGGACUGAGAUACGGCCCAGACGCCUACGGGAGGCAGCAGUGGGGAAUAUGGCACAAUGGGCGGAAGCCUAAUGCAGCAACGCCGCGUGCGGGAUGACGGCCUUCGGGUUGUAAACCGCUUUCGCCUGUGACGAAGCGUGAGUGACGGUAAUGGGUAAAGAAGCACCGGCUAACUACGUG